UGUAAAUGUAAAUGUAAAUGUAAAUGUAAAUGUAAAUGUUGAAUGUUGAAUGUUAAAUGUUAAAUGUAAAUGUUAAAUGUUAAAUGUAAACGUUAAAUGAUCGAACUGAAUAUUUAAGUAGACUCCACCCUCUAUGAUUCUAGAUCAGUGACGCGGACUCAAACACCUCAAACAGUACACAUAGCUCCGCCCACAUCUGACCCUGGAUCGGUGGACGACACUACUGGAAAGAAGCCUGAAGUCGAAGCCAUCAUGGCCGCCAGCUCCGACUCCGUCCCGUUAGAGGAGAUUGAACGGGCUGUAACGGCAGGAUCAGACAGGUGCAGAUGCCUGCUUUGGCCAGAGGUGGUGCAAUGAGGAAGGUGUCGGGGUAGUGGAAUGAACUCAGUUGUUUCAAGAAGCUUAGUUGGACGAGUGAUGGUCUCAGGAAGUAAAGUGAAACAAGCCUCCAGGGUCCAGCAUCUUUCAGGUCUGUGGGUUCUGCUCCUCUGGAGCUGAAGGACGGACUUUAGGCUCCAAACCUCCGUCAGCCAGACAUCUGGUUCUCUGCCAGAACUGAUAUCAACCAUUAAUAUUACUUGUUUAGCUAAGACAUUCACCAGACAAUGUUCCCUGGAGCUUUCCCAUGUCACUGGCAUUCAUUACAAUUCAGACUUCCCAGAAUCGAGCAGAACAAACUUUUGUGUUGCCAGAACACAGUUUAAAGAGGGACAAACAAACUCUGACUGGUAUGAGCCACGAACUGAACCCUGUUUACAGAACAUUGAAGGUCUUUACUACUCUAUGAGGUUACGUAUGGUUUUAUAUUAUAGAUUCUACAAUAGUUAAUGUUUUAAGCUAAAAUGUAAUUCAAAUAUUAAUUUGAGGUCAUAAAUCAGAGUGUGGCUCAGUUUCAUUUUUCUGUAUUGAUACAGACGUGUUAUCAGUCUGGUGAUAAACAGAUGGGAGGAGUGUAAUAGAGUGGUUUCUGUCUCCCCCUAUUGUCCUGUUUAUUCUAUGGAUACGUUAUGUUUGGCCAGAACCUUGCUCCCUUUAAAGAGUCUACAUCUGCUCCACCUGCAGAGCUGCACACCUCCGUCUGUGAUGGUUUCAAUGUUGUCCUCCAUCCCAACCAAACGCUCCUCCCCAGGGUGCUGUCCCAUGUCCACCUUGACCAGUCUAUUGCUAACUCCACAUAGAGCUCAGUCUGGGCCCUGGCUAAAUACAUGCUACAUACCAGGGAGCUCUGGAGAACCCACCAGCUCUGGGUGGGUUCUGCUCCUGACCAGCUUGGCCAGUUGAUAAUGAAGCCUCCUGGUGGAGGUCAUUUACAGUCUGUCCCCAGUCGAGGACACCUGUACUCACUCCACUCAUUAAUUUUAUUUCUGCAACUGUAACGUCUCUACAUUGGCAUCACAGUGUCAUGAACCCUGUCUUAUUUGCUCUUUUUACAGUUUUAUUUUGUCAAUUCCUGUCUUUGUCUUGCCUGUUUUCUUCAUGUCCAGCUUUACUUCCGGUCACAUGAUUCAUCAGCUGUUUUCCAGCAUCCACUAGUGUAAGUCCUGCCGGUUGAUUUUGUUCCUGACCUCCCUGUGAUGACGCCCUAUUGGUGUUUUUUUGGAGUUGUGUGUUAUUUAGUGUGAUGUGUGCUUUUUGCUUCACCGUUUUCACCGCUUCACCGUUUCCUUUAGACUUUCUUAUUUUAUCAUUGCAAUUUGCUGCCAUUUGAAAUAUGUACAGUAGGUAUAUAGGUUAUAUGUGUUUUGCCCUGUUCUUAUCCUCCACCACCUACAGUUCAGACCAGAACAAAUGCACUUAAGGAGGUUGCAGUGCAUCACAGAGACUGGUUGAUUAAAUUACUCUGAGUCAAAGAGGCCGACAUGCACAGGCCUCCUCUCUGUCAGAACCACACACUGCACAGAGACAUGGAGGAACCAGAAUCCAGACUCCAAAUCCAGUAGAUGAGGUCCAGGGAAUCUGUUGUUGAAGGUGUAGAGGUGGACUCGUCUGUCAGACACGAUACCAGGUGACUGUGUCCACAUGCAUAUCUAUCCAUCCAUCCAUUUUCUACUGCUUUUUCCCAUUCGGGGUUGUAGGGGUGGAACCUAUCCCAGCGUGCUGAGGGCGAGAGGCGGGGUGCUCCCUGAACAGGUUGCCAGUCAAUUGGAGGGCCACCCAGAGACGGCAAUAGAGAGUAGCCAAUUAACCUAAUGCAUGUCUUUGGACUGUGGGAGGAAACUGGAGUCGGUCCAACAUGUUUUUUAUUUUGUUGUGCAAUGAAUAUUUGUUUAUACAUUGUUUAUUGAAGUAAUGUUAAAGAAGACCUGCAGUGUUUUUAUGCAAAUAAUCUACUGUAUUGUUUGCUUUUUUUUUGUUAUAUUAUUAUAUUAAACAGUGCUUUCAC